GAAGUCAUUAUACAGUCCGAAGAGCAUAAACUUUCGUGAUGUUUCCAGAUACUAGAAUGGGACAAACAGUAGUAGAAAGGGGUUGAAUUUAGGAUUACCGUUUUGCCAUGAAAUAGCAGGUAUAUAUAAGCCUCAACCCAGCAUCUGUCGCAUUCGAGAAGCCUCCAUCGCUAUCUAGAGUUCCUGUUAACGGACAACAGGCUUCCAGUCAAAAUCAAGAUCAGGAAAAUCUCGCUGAUCAGCAGAUACCGUUUAUCAGUAGCAAGGUCAAUUGUAUUGCUCAUCUAUUCAGUCUGCUUUCAAGUAUGAAACAAAUUAUUGCAAGAUACAACAAGUGUGACGAGUCUUCAGAGACCGCUUUGGUAGAAUCAAUGGCAGAGGGACUGUUCUGAUUCUUUUUUUGAGAAAAAUUGCAAGAGAUUUGACAGAAGCAUCAUUAUCAGGUGCAGGAUUGUGUACAGUAGCAGCUCUUGCCAUGAUGUUUUUAACUUGGAAUGGUAAGUAGUUCAUAUCUCUUUAAUUGGUUAUUUAUCGCUUCAUAUUACUCAAAUUCAACUGAAUGGGCAUUUAGUGGCCUUUUCUUUUCCUUUAAUUUGAUGUUUAGUCUAAUGUUCUGUAGAAUAGUUUUUUUGUUAAUUUCCUUUGCUUUUCUCU